rnacentral:rRNA from 1 species
AUUAUCAAGUACAGCGGGCUUCGGCCCUGUCUGCACCCUUGUCUUUUGCGUACUGUCUGUUUCCUUGGUGGGCUUGCCCACCAAAAGGACACUAUACAACCACUUGUAAUAGCAAUCAGCGUCAGAUAACUAUAAUAGUUACAACUUUCAACAACGGAUCUCUUGGUUCUGGCAUCGAUGAAGAACGCAGCGAAAUGCGAAAAGUAGUGUGAAUUGCAGAAUUCAGUGAAUCAUCGAAUCUUUGAACGCACAUUGCGCCCCUUGGUAUUCCAUGGGGCAUGCCUGUUCGAGCGUCAUUUGUACCCUCAAGCUCUGCUUGGUGUUGGGUGUUGUCCAGUGUGGACUCGCCUCAAAACAAUUGGCAGCCGGCAUAUCUGGUCUUGGAGCGCAGCACAAUUGCACUUCCAGCCUGAGAUGUUGGCAUCCACAAGCCUAAUUUUUUACGCUUGACCUCGGAUCAGGUAGGGAUACCCGCUGAACUUAAGCAUAUCAAUAAGCGGAGGAAAAGAAACCAACAGGGAUUGCCCUAGUAACGGCGAGUGAAGCGGCAUCAGCUCAAAUUUGAAAUCUGGCUCUUUCAGAGUCCGAGUUGUAAUUUGCAGAGGGCGCUUUGGCGUUGGCAGCGGUCUAAGUUCCCUGGAACAGGACGUCACAGAGGGUGAGAAUCCCGUAUGUGGUCGCUGGCCUUCGCCGUGUAAAGCCCCUUCGACGAGUCGAGUUGUUUGGGAAUGCAGCUCUAAAUGGGAGGUAAAUUUCUUCUAAAGCUAAAUACUGGCCAGAGACCGAUAGCGCACAAGUAGAGUGAUCGAAAGAUGAAAAGCACUUUGGAAAGAGAGUCAAAUAGCACGUGAAAUUGUUGAAAGGGAAGCGCUUGCAGCCAGACUUGCCUGUAGUUGCUCAUCCGGGCUUUUGCCCGGUGCACUCUUCUGCGGGCAGGCCAGCAUCAGUUUGGGCGGUUGGAUAAAGGCCUCUGUCAUGUACCUCCUUUCGGGGAGGCCUUAUAGGGGAGGCGACAUGCAACCAGCCUGGACUG